GGGGGCGAAACGGCUUCGACGGGAUUGGAUUGGCGUGGAAAGGCGUGCCGGGUUCCGAGCUCCCGUAAAACGAUCGGAAAACCAAUAACUGCCAAUCAGCAGUUCGCCUACGCCGCCUAAAUCUUAGGCGGCCGCCCCGGCCGGCGGGCCCGCAAGCCGGCCACCGGGCGUCAUUUAGCGGGCUGGGCGGAAGGGCUUCGGUCCGGAGCCUGAGGCCGACAACCAAUCGGGCUAGGCCGCCGUGAUUCUCGCCGGUUCUAAGGCGGCGGUCGAAAAAGUCGAGCCGGCUACGCACGUAGGCUUUCCGCGGCAGACUUUCUCGGACGCGGGUUCGACUCCCGCCGCCUCCACCA
rnacentral:tmRNA from 1 species